GAUCCUGUGCACUUUAUUCUUCCCUACCAGCCUCAGAAGCCACGUGCUGAAGACAGUGAAGUUCUGUCUGGGAAGAAGCAUCGAUCCCUAAAUGACUGCAUGGAGCAGAGCAGAGAUGUCUGCUCACUAAGUUGGUUCGAAGCUGAGGAGGAAAAAAAUUAGGUGCUAGGAUGCUGGAGAGAUCCUCAGAAACCCCUCUACAUGAAUCAUUUAAGUAGAUGAAGAGCUAGAUUGCAAUAAUCAUUGGGAGGAGAAGAAGAAUAAAACAUGAGAUUCCAUUCACAUCCCAGAAUUAAAGGUACUGUCGUGAUGCCCAUUUUACAGAUGAAGAAACUGAGGUUUCCAGAGGUCCAGUCCCUGCCUGAGCUGAUGCAGUUACGAAGGCUGAAGCCCGGACUUGAUUUGAGUUCGGCCUGCGGAGCCCCGGCUGAGCUACCUGCCUUCUAGCCCCACGGUGGAAAGGGAGAAUCCAGACAUCCUUGAGACCUACCCAAGGAGUUUCCCUGUUACUGCCCUGCCAUCCUUCUGAUGCCACCCUGUUCCGUAUCUGGCUGGAGCCAGCGUGGUUGUGUCUGGGUUUGGCUCCAUAGUAGAUGUUCUCGGUGGCCUUACUAUUCCUGUGCACGCCGGCCACUUUUGCCUGAAGCUCUCUGUGGCUGCCAAUGCCCACUUUGUUGAAAGUACUUGGAAAUUAAGACCCUCUAGGGAGUAUCUCUGAGUUGUGCCUGGUGAGAUUUCAUGAAGGAAUGGCCCAGCUCCUGCAGACCUAGGCGGGAUGUCUGAGGUGCACCUUCUACACGCUCUUUCAGUUGGAUUAAGUCCUAGGAUGCCCACAGGGGUCACUGAGAGGUUAACAAACAUUUUUUUUUUUUUUUUUUUUGAGAUGGAGUCUUGCUCUGUCACCCAGGCUGGAGUGCAGUGGCCUGAUCUCAGCUCACUGCAAGCUCCACCUCCCAGGUUCAUGCUAUUUUCCUGCCUCAGCCUCCUGAGUAGCUGGGAUUACAGGCGCCCGCCACCACGACCGGCUAAUUUUUUGUAUUUUUAGUACAGACCAGGUUUCACCGUGUUAGCCAGGAUGGUCUCGAUCUCUUGACCUUGUGAUCCACCUGCCUCGGCCUCCCAAAGUGUUGGAAUUAUAGGCUUGAGCCACCACGCACAGCUGACAUUUCCACUUUUGUCUUUUGGCCCAGAUGUUGACAUUUUCUGAGCUCCCAAAGAAUUUACAGACAUUUUUCCUAGGUCAGAGUAAAAGGGAUCCCCUUUGUUCUGGAUCUUCUGUUGCCUUGAUCAUCAGAUCAAGUUGAGGAAAUGGUCCCUUGGGAAGCUAAUCCCAGUGGCUUGGUAAACUUACACCCUUUCUUUUGAUGUCAGGCCUUUUAAAACAUCAGGGCCACUUUCCUUUACUUGUCCAGGAUGGAAACAUUUGGCAGCACUUUUUGCAAUAUCCUUCCAUUCAACAGCCACAUGCCCCAGCUGAGGGCUUGGCACCAUGGAAAAGCAAUGAAGAUUCAAGAACGAACCAGCUUAGCACACGUGAUUUUUAGGGCAGUGAGACUAUUCUAUGUGACACUGUAAUGGUGGAUCCAAUGGUGGAUGGUCACAUCCAUCCAAAGAAUGUGCAGCACACCAGGAGAGAAACCUACACUAUGGACUUAAGAGUAAUGUAUCAAUAUUGACUCAUCAAUUGCAACAAAUGCACUACAUUAAAGCCACAUGUUAAUAACAGGGGAAACAGGAUGGGAGGAUUUGAGGGCAUAUAUGGGAACACUAUACUUUCUGCUCAUUUUUCUGUAAAGCUUAAGCUAUUCUAAAGAAUAAAGUCUAUUCAUUAAACAACAAAAA